AUUGAACGCUGGCGGCAGGCCUAACACAUGCAAGUCGAGCGGCAGCGGAAAGUAGCUUGCUACUUUGCCGGCGAGCGGCGGACGGGUUAGUAAUGUCUGGGAAACUGCCUGAUGGAGGGGGCUAACUACUGGAAACGGUAGCUAAUACAGCAUAACGACCCAAGACCAAAGAGGGGGACCUUUGGGCCUCUUGCAAUAAGAUGUGCCCAGAUGGGAUUAGCUAGUAGGUGGGGUAACGGGUCACCUAGGCGACGAUCCCUAGCUGGUCUGAGAGGAUGACCAGCAAAACUGGAACUGAGACACGGUCCAGACUCCUACGGGAGGCAGCAGUGGGGAAUAUUGCACAAUGGGCGCAAGCCUGAUGCAGCCAUGCCGCGUGUAUGAAGAAGGCCUUCGGGUUGUAAAGUACUUUCAGCGGGGAGGAAGGUGUUGAGGUUAAUAACCUCAGCAAUUGACGUUACCCGCAGAAGAAGCACCGGCUAACUCCGUGCCAGCAGCCGCCGUAACAC
rnacentral:rRNA from 1 species